rnacentral:rRNA from 1 species
GACGAACGCUGGCGGCGUGCUUAACACAUGCAAGUCGAACGGAAAGGCCCUGCUUUUGUGGGGUGCUCGAGUGGCGAACGGGUGAGUAACACGUGAGUAACCUGCCCUUGACUUUGGGAUAACUUCAGGAAACUGGGGCUAAUACCGGAUAGGAGCUCCUGCUGCAUGGUGGGGGUUGGAAAGUUUCGGCGGUUGGGGAUGGACUCGCGGCUUAUCCGCUUGUUGGUGGGGUAGUGGCUUACCAAGGCUUUGACGGGUAGCCGGCCUGAGAGGGUGAACGGCCACAUUGGGACUGAGAUACGGACCAGAAUCCUACGGGAGGCAGCAGUGGGGAAUAUUGCACAAUGGGCGGAAGCCUGAUGCAGCAACGCCGCGUGCGGGAUGACGGCCUUCGGGUGGUAAACCGCUUUCGCCUGAGACGAAGCGUGAGUGACGGUAAUGGGUAAAGAAGCACCGGCUAACUACGUG